ACUCCUACGGGAGGCAGCAGUGGGGAACUAUUGCACAAUGGGCGCAAGCCUGAUGCAGCCAUGCCGCGUGUGUGAAGAAGGCCUUCGGGUUGUAAAGCACUUUUCAGUUGUGAGGAAGGUGGUGUCCGUUAAUAGCGGCAUCAUUUGACGUUAGCAACAGAAGAAGCACCGGCUAACUCCGUGCCAGCAGCCGCGGUAAUACGGAGGGUGCGAGCGUUAAUCGGUAAUUACUGGGCGUAAAGCGCAUGCAGGUGGUUUGUUAAGUCAGAUGUGAAAGCCCGGGGCUCAACCUCGGAACUGCAUUUGAAACUGGCAGACUAGAGUACUGUAGAGGGGGGUAGAAUUUCAGGUGUAGCGGUGAAAUGCGUAGAGAUCUGAAGGAAUACCGGUGGCGAAGGCGGCCCCCUGGACAGGACUACUGACACUCAGACUGCGAAAGCGUGGGGAGCAAACAGGAUUAGAUACCCUGGUAGCACAGAG
rnacentral:rRNA from 1 species